UACGGAGGGUGCGAACGUUAAUCGGAAUCACUGGGCGUAAAGCGCGCGUAGGCGGUUUGCUAAGUGGGAUGUGAAAUCCCCGGGCUUAACCUGGGAAUUGCAUUUCAAACUGGCCGACUAGAGUACGGUAGAGGGAGGUAGAAUUUCCUGUGUAGCGGUGAAAUGCGUAGAUAUAGGAAGGAAUACCAGUGGCGAAGGCGGCCUCCGUGGA
rnacentral:rRNA from 1 species